CCUAUAUGAUGAAACUCUUUAAUUAACCUGACCAUCUGUGGAGGGUCAAAUCUGAUUUAAUGAGCCUGAUAG